UGGGAGAGAACAUUAACCUCUAAAGCAUCAGCAAGCUGGUGUCUUUUAGGGGAUUAGAGUGUUCCUUUAAGACUUCUUUAGUUGGAAACAACUCUUAGUCUGGGAACCAUGACGUUAAUUGGGAGUUCGUGAAUGUUCACAGAUCCUGAUAUGCAGAAAAAACAGGUAUCUAAACAAAUAUGCUCUGAAACAAUUUCAUCUGAUUAAACUGAACGUGGUUUUAGCAAAUACGUGUAUCCUCUGUUUCACGAAUAGAGGUUGUUACCACACUGAAAGGAUGAGACAGGAGAUGCAUCGAAAAUCAUUAAGUUCUACUUAUACAUUCUAAAAUAACACACAAAGGGAAUACAUGACACGUAACUUUGUAUCUUCGUUAAUAUUAAAAAUAACGGUUACAGCUUUACUUUGAAGGGACACUAUAGUCACUAAAACAACUUUAACUUAAUGAAGCAAUUUUGGUGUAUAGAUCAUACCCCUGCAGUCCAACUUUGCCAUUUAGGAGUUAAAUCACAUUACUUAUGCAUCCCUGGGCACACCUCACUGCAUGUGACUUACACAGGCUUUCUAAACACUUCCUGGAAAGAGUCUUCUAAUGUUUACACUUCCUUUAUUCCAAAAUCUGUUUACUUUAUAAUGUCUUAUCAAAUGCUCUGUUAAUAGAUGUCUAGACCCUGCAGGAGCCUCCUGUAUGUAAUUAAAACUUUUUACAGAG